GACCGCGUAGCUCAGUUGGCAGAGCAUUGGGCUAGUAUUCCAAAGGUCGUAGGUUUGAUUGCCACCGUGGCCA
rnacentral:tRNA from 1 species